CCCAACUAUCCCUAUUAAUCAUUACGGUGAUCCUAGAAACCAACGAAAUAGAAUCAAACGUCCUAUUUCGUUAUUCCAUGCUAAUGUAUUCAAGCGUGAGCCUGCUUUAAACACUCUAAUUUUUUCAAAGUAACAGUCCUGAUUCCCUAAAACACCAAAUUAAUGGCAUUAUAGUUCGUCAGAAGAGAGAAACCGAUUAUACUAGUACGUACAAAAGCACGACCAGUAGACCGGUCUCGAAAUUCAACUACGAGCUUUUUAACUGCAACAACUUUAAUAUACGCUAUUGGAGCUGGAAUUACCGCGGCUGCUGGCACCAGACUUGCCCUCCAA
rnacentral:misc_RNA from 1 species